GACGUAGGGGGCCAGCGUUGCUCGGAAUUACUGGGCGUAAAGGGUUCGUAGGCGGUGUGGCAAGUCGGAAGUGAAAUCUCCAGGCUUAACUUGGAGGCUGCUCCCGAAACUGCCAUGCUAGAGUGCGGGAGAGGCGAGUGGAAUUGCAGGUGUAGCGGUGAAAUGCGUAGAUAUUUGCAGGAACACCCGUGGCGAAGGCGGCUCGCUGGACCGCAACUGACGCUGAGGAACGAAAGCUAGGGGAGCAAACAGG
rnacentral:rRNA from 1 species